ensembl:misc_RNA 7SK 7SK RNA
GGAUGUGAGGGCGAUCUGGCUGCGACAUCUGUCACCCCAUUGAUUGCCAGGGUUGAUUUGGCUGAUCUGACUGGCUAGGCAGGUGUCCCCUUUCUCCCUCACCACUCCAUGUGCGUCCCCUCCCGAAGCUGCGCACUCAGUCGAAGAGGACGACCAUCCCCAAUAGUGGAGGACCGGUCUUCGGUCAAGGGUAUACGAGUAGCUGCACUCCCCUGCUAGAACCUCCAAACAAGCUCUCAAGGUCCUAAUUAUGGAGAAAAAUCUCAACUUGGUGGUUAAAGUCAUAACAUUUAGGGUUUGACAGAUCCUGGCUCUGCCACUGCCC